ensembl:miRNA
UCCAGAGGACUUAGCCUGUGCUGUGGCCACUGAGAGAUGAAACACAGAUCUUUGGUAAUCUGAUGGCUGCAAAUGCUGGG